GUCUCCGUGGCGCAACUGGUUAGCGCGUUCGACUGUUAAUCGAGAGGUUGACAGUUCAAUCCUGUCCGGGGACG
rnacentral:tRNA from 3 species